UACGUAGGGGGCAAGCGUUAUCCGGAUUUACUGGGUGUAAAGGGAGCGUAGACGGCGGUGCAAGCCAGAUGUGAAAGCCCGGGGCUCAACCCCGGGACUGCAUUUGAAACUGUCAGUCUUGAGUACCGGAGAGGUCAUCGGAAUUCCUUGUGUAGCGGUGAAAUGCGUAGAUAUAAGGAAGAACACCAGUGGCGAAGGCGGAUGACUGGACGGCAACUGACGGUGAGGCGCGAAAGCGUGGGGAGCAAACAGG
rnacentral:rRNA from 1 species